rnacentral:rRNA from 1 species
CGGCGAACGGGUGAGUAAUACAUCGGAACAUACCCAGUCGUGGGGGAUAACACUUCGAAAGAAGUGCUAAUACCGCAUACGUCCUGAGGGAGAAAGCGGGGGAUCUUCGGACCUCGCGCGAUUGGAGUGGCCGAUGUCAGAUUAGCUAGUUGGUGGGGUAAAGGCCUACCAAGGCGACGAUCUGUAGCUGGUCUGAGAGGACGACCAGCCACACUGGGACUGAGACACGGCCCAG